AUUGAACACUGGCGGAAUGCUUUACACAUGCAAGUCGAACGGCAGCACGGACUUCGGUCUGGUGGCGAGUGGCGAACGGGUGAGUAAUGUAUCGGAACGUGCCCAGUCGUGGGGGAUAACGUAGUGAAAAUUACGCUAAUACCGCAUACGAUCUAUGGAUGAAAGCGGGGGAUCGCAAGACCUCGCGCGAUUGGAGCGGCCGAUAUCAGAUUAGGUAGUUGGUGGGGUAAAGGCCCACCAAGCCAACGAUCUGUAGCUGGUCUGAGAGGACGACCAGCCACACUGGAACUGGGACACGGUCCAGACUCCUACGGGAGGCAGCAGUGGGGAAUUUUGGACAAUGGGCGAAAGCCUGAUCCAGCCAUUCCGCGUGCAGGAUGAAGGCCCUCGGGUUGUAAACUGCUUUUGUACAGAACGAAAAGGUUUCUACUAAUACUAGGAGCUCAUGACGGUACUGUGAGAAUAAGCACCGGCUAACUACGUGCCAGCCGCCGCAGUAA
rnacentral:rRNA from 1 species